rnacentral:rRNA from 1 species
AGUGAACGCUGGCGGUAGGCCUAACACAUGCAAGUCGAACGGCAGCACAGUAAGAGCUUGCUCUUACGGGUGGCGAGUGGCGGACGGGUGAGGAAUACAUCGGAAUCUACUUUUUCGUGGGGGAUAACGUAGGGAAACUUACGCUAAUACCGCAUACGACCUACGGGUGAAAGCAGGGGAUCUUCGGACCUUGCGCGAUUGAAUGAGCCGAUGUCGGAUUAGCUAGUUGGCGGGGUAAAGGCCCACCAAGGCGACGAUCCGUAGCUGGUCUGAGAGGAUGAUCAGCCACACUGGAACUGAGACACGGUCCAGGCUCCUACGGGAGGCAGCAGUGGGGAAUAUUGGACAAUGGGCGCAAGCCUUAUCCAGCCAUACCGCGUGGGUGAAGAAGGCCUUCGGGUUGUAAAGCCCUUUUGUUGGGAAAGAAAAGCAGCAGGUUAAUACCCCGCUGUUCUGACGGUACCCAAAGAAUAAGCACCGGCUAACUUCGUG